rnacentral:rRNA from 1 species
CCUACGGGUGGCAGCAGUGAGGAAUAUUGGUCAAUGGGCGCAAGCCUGAACCAGCCAAGUCGCGUGAGGGAUGAAGGUUCUAUGGAUGGUAAACUUCUUUUAUAAGGGAAUAAAGUGUGGGAGGUGUCCAGUUUUGUAUGUACCUUAUGAAUAAGGAUCGGCUAACUCCGUGCCAGCAGCCGCGGUAAUACGGAGGAUCCGAGCGUUAUCCGGAUUUAUUGGGUUGAAAGGGAGCGUAGCCGGGGUGUUAAGUCAGGGGUGAAAGUCUGUGGCUCAACCAUAGAAUUGCCAUUGAAACUGGGAGGCUGGAGUACUGUUGAGGCAGGCGGAAUGCGUGGUGUAGCGGUGAAAUGCUUAGAUAUCACGAAGAACACCGAUUGCGAAGGCAGCUUGCUAAACCAUCACUGACGCUGAUGCUCGAAAGCGUGGGGAUCAAACAGGAUUAGAUACCCGAGUAGUC